GUUUUGUGAAGACGAAGUGGCCACAGAGAAGUUUCUUCCGUGUAAACAUCUGUUGUUAUGUAAGAAAUGCUCUCCCCGAAAGAUGCCUAAACGAUGCCCUAUGUGUGGCCAGAAUAUAACGAGCAAAAGUAGUUUGGUUGGUCGGCAGUCAUCGAAGAGGGAAGUCCAGGUGUUGGCAGACUCAGUGGUGUCUCAAAUGUUUGAGGACAAGGGUGUGCAAACUGAUCCCCUGUCAUCGCAGUCUACAUCCCAGCAAGGUGGUGAGUAUAAAAUAACAGUUCCUAAUUGAUUUCUAUAAGGUUUGCUUCACCUGGGAAUAUUGUGUUUGAAAGAAUAACUUAAAACAGGUUAUAUUCUUUCCAAUGGAAAG